rnacentral:rRNA from 1 species
CAUGAUGUCAUUUAUUUGGUGUUGUGGGAAAUUAGGACUGUUACCUUGAAAAAAUUAGAGUGUUUAAAGCAGGCUAACGCUUGAAUACAUUAGCAUGGAAUAAUGAAAUAGGACAUCCGAUUCUAUUUUGUUGGUUUCUAGGAUCGAUGUAAUGAUUAAUAGGGAUAGUUGGGGGCAUUAGUAUUCAAUUGUCAGAGGUGAAAUUCUUGGAUUUAUUGAAGACUAACUACUGCGAAAGCAUUUGCCAAGGAUGUUUUCAUUAAUCAAGAACGAAAGUUAGGGGAUCGAAGACGAUCAGAUACCGUCGUAGUCUUAACCAUAAACUAUGCCGACUAGGGAUCGGAUGAUGCUUAUUUUUCAAUGACUCAUUCGGCACCUUACGGGAAACCAAAGUGUUUGGGUUCCGGGGGGAGUAUGGUCGCAAGGCUGAAACUUAAAGGAAUUGACGGAAGGGCACCACCAGGGGUGGAGCCUGCG